rnacentral:lncRNA from 1 species
AACUCUGUAUGAUGAUUUCUUUUCCAGCCAUUCAGACAAAGCUCACCUUGUUAAAUUAUUUGAAAAAUAGAAAAUUGUCCCAAGAACAGAUGAUUUCUUUCCUUGUAGGCGUUGGCCUCCCAAUUUGUGUUUCCAAUUAGUAGGGGGGUUGAAUAAGCCUUUGUCAGAGUGGAGCCCUUAAAAUUUUCCAACUUCCCUUGUUCACCUGACGUAACAUUGCGAACAUCUCAGUAAUUUUAGUCAAUUGUCCCUUCUUCUUCCUUCCCCUCUUACAGAGCUUCGACUUGAAAUUUGAUAAACUGGAAUCACCUUCGGUGGGACUCCAACGCCUCACAUCCCUUCAGCAUCUCACCAUUAACAACUACCCAAAGAUAAUACAUCUAUGAGAAAUGUUGUUGUCUUUCACUUUUGAGAUUGAGAAUCUCUGGAUGCCCAGGCAAAUAUCAUAUCCCCUGCAAUGACAUCUAAUACAGGUACCUGUUUAUUAAAACACCCUUUUGACUUGUUUUAGUUUGGAAUGAUAUACAUGUUACGGUUGAUCUAACAGAAGUGAGUGAAACAUGAUUUAUCGUGUUCUUUCUGAUAAAUUACGUGAUUUCCAGUUUUACCAUUUUAUACAUCCCAAAGAAGACAACUAACUACUCAAGGAUGGAGAAAGCAUGGUUUUGUGAAGCUGAAAUUUAACAUUUUGACUUUUUUAGUCAUAGGUCAACUCACAAAUAUAAAUAAGUUCUAUCUCUUUUUAUCCUGUGUAGAUUACUUACAGAUGGUUUCGGAUAGUAUCUUUGUAAGUUAAUUAAAACAAAGGCUAAAUGAAAUGUUAUCAUUUGUUAAAAUAUUUUCUUAACACAAAUGAUGUAAAAUUUAGAUUCUAAGAUCAAGCAAUCUGUUUCAGUUAUACAGUUAGUGCAGAAUUGCAAAUUUUGGGUCUAAUUACCAAAAGUCAAUAAAUUGGUCAAUCCUAGAUCAAAUCAAUUGCAUUCACUUGUGGAUACAAAUUUCCACUUCUUUCAAAAUUCAACCUGUUAGACCCGUUUGUGGUUUAUAAAACAGCAUAUAUAUUUUUAAUUAGAACAAAACGAGUACUUUUUGUCUAGGCAUAGUAUAUAUUCAAUUAUUCUUAUUUCAUUGUAAUGGCUUACUAAACGUCAAAACAGGUCGUAUUUGGUUGCAACAUGAUAAAAAGUCAUGAUAAGUUGUACAAAAAAAGUAUGAGUAAAUGAAGAUUAAUAAAAGUCUAACUUAACUGAGGCAUUUCAUCGAACACAUGGAGUGCAAUUCAUCAAAUACUUGAAACAAACAUAAAUUUUGAUUUAACUGGGACUUCCGUUGUUUCCUUCCCUUCACUUGAAAUUCUUAAAUUUAAAGAUAUGUGUGUGGAUGGGAGGUAUGGUCAACCAAUAGUGAUGUUUCAGAUCUGGUGUUUCCAUGCCUUAGAGGGCUAUCAAAUCUCACCUUGUUGAAACGUCUUCAAAUCACAAACUGUCCAAGUGUUGAUGCUUCCUUUCCUCGUGGGCUUUGGCCUCCCAAAUUGAACCACCUUGAAAUAGGGGGUUGAAAAAGCCCAUCUCAGAGUGGGGCCGCAGAAUUUUCCAACAUCCCUUGUUCGUCUAAGGUUAAUUAACGAACAUAUCAUGGGAUCCGGAGAGCCAAAGUCGAAUUGCAAAUCGGAUAGCAAACGAGGAAGGAGAAGAUGGACUGCAAAUUUGGAUGAACAAAAGCAAAAUUGAACAAUUUCUUGAUUAGGGGAGUAAUUGUUGGAAGAUUAUUAAUCAUGAAAUUAUGGUUUUUAGAAGUCAAUUAUAAAAGUCAAACUUGUUCAUAAAAAAGUCAACUGCAGAAUUAAAAAAUGAUGAACAAGAAAUUCGGUUAUGUAGUUAUGUUAGUUAGUUAGUUAGAAAACGGUUAAAUAACUUUCGUAUUGUAAGGGUAUAAAUACCCACAGAUGUCUUCAUUUGUAUGUGUGAAAUUAGAAGCUUAUAUUGCAUAUUCUCUUUGUCUCUGUAAGGUUUAA